GAGAGUUAAACAGUACGUGAAAUUGUUGAAAGGGAAACGAUUGAAGCCAGUCGUACCUUCGGGUAAUCAGCCUUUCGGGUGCGAUUCUGUGGAGUGUGAGGAGCUUAAACACCUUCAUGUUUUGCAUAUUCGUACUCUUGGGUGUACUUGCCCGUGUGGUUGGUUAACAUCAAUUUUGGUGGUCAUAAAAUGACUGGGGGAAUGUAGCUUCGAUCUUGUAUUGAAGUGUUAUAGCCUUCGGUAGAUGUGAUGAUCGAGAUUGAGGAUUGCAACGGAUACCCUUCGGGGCUACCUGUCUGAUCUCUGAUCGUUGCUCUGGUGCCGAAAGCUUGCUUAUGAUGUUAGGGUAUUACGGUCAAAAGGUUAGAACGGAUUAAAUUCGUUAAGGAUGUUGACGUAAUGACUUUAAACGA
rnacentral:rRNA from 1 species